AUGGAGGUGGAGAUGCAGCUGGACGACGACCUCUUCUUCGCGGAGCUCAGCAAGCGGAUUUCCCUCCUCAUCACCGACGACGACGAGGCCGACUUCGCCGCCUCGCAGUUCCCCGCCGCCGUCCACCUCCCACCGGGUUUCUCCAUGUCCAUGGCGCCCCAUGUGCCGUCGAUGUUGGCGCCACCGGCCUACACGCUGUUCCACCACGCCGCCAGCUACGGCGCCGGCGACGGCGGGAGAACGUGGCAGCAGCAACCUCAGCAGCAGCAGCAGCAGCAGUGCGGCAGCAAGGGCACCGGCGUCUUCAUCCCCCGGUCCACGCCCGGCUCCGUGCACCCCAAGAGGAAGGGCAGGAACUGGAGCGGCUCCAAGGCCGCCGCGCACAAGGCCAAGGCCCAGGCCCAGGCCGACGCCGGGGUCGCCGCAGGCGCGCCCACUAAAAGACGCGCCUGA
rnacentral:rRNA from 1 species